rnacentral:misc_RNA from 1 species
UACGGAGGGCGCAAGCGUUGUCCGGAUUUAUUGGGUUUAAAGGGUGCGUAGGCGGGUAAUUAAGUCAGUGGUGAAAGCCGACAGCUCAACUGUCGAACCGCCAUUGAUACUGGUUAUCUUGAGUAUAGUUGGGGCAGGCGGAAUUUACGAUGUAGCGGUGAAAUGCAUAGAUAUGACAUAGAACACCUAUUGCGAAGGCAGCUCACUAAACUAUUACUGACGCUGAUGGACGAAAGCGUAGGUAGCGAACAGG